GGCGCACGGGUGAGUAACGCGCGGAUAAUCUACCCAAUGGUCUGGGAUAACAUUUCGAAAGGGGUGCUAAUACCGGAUAAGACCACGGAGUCUUUGGACUCUGCGGUAAAAGGUGGGGACCUUCGGGCCUACCGCAAUUGGAUGAGUCCGCGUACCAUUAGCUAGUUGGUAGGGUAAAGGCCUACCAAGGCGACGAUGGUUAGCUGGUCUGAGAGGAUGAUCAGCCACACUGGAACUGAGACACGGUCCAGACUCCUACGGGAGGCAGCAGUGGGGAAUUUUGCGCAAUGGGGGAAACCCUGACGCAGCAACGCCGCGUGAGUGAUGAAGGCCUUCGGGUCGUAAAGCUCUGUCAGAGGGGAAGAAAUGCGGGGUGCUAAUAUCACUUCCGCUUGACGGUACCCUCAAAGGAAGCACCGGCUAACUCCGUGCCAGCAGCCGCGGUAAUACGGAGGGUGCGAGCGUUGUUCGGAAUUAUUGGGCGUAAAGCGCGUGUAGGCGGUUUGUUAAGUCUGAUGUGAAAGCCCCGGGCUCAACCUGGGAAGUGCAUUGGAAACUGGCAGACUUGAAUACGGGAGAGGGUAGUGGAAUUCCUAGUGUAGGAGUGAAAUCCGUAGAUAUUAGGAGGAACACCAGUGGCGAAGGCGGCUGCCUGGACCGAUAUUGACGCUGAGACGCGAAAGCGUGGGGAGCAAACAGGAUUAGAUACCCUGGUAGUCCACGCCGUAAACGAUGAGUACUAGGUGUUGCGGGUAUUGACCCCUGCAGUGCCGCAGCUAACGCAUUAAGUACUCCGCCUGGGAAGUACGGCCGCAAGGCUAAAACU
rnacentral:rRNA from 1 species